GUACUUCCAAAGUACAUGCAUGUACUAAAAUUGGAACGAUACAGACAAGGUUAGCAUGGCCCCUGCGCAAGGAUGACACGCAAAAUCGUGAAGCGUUCCACAUUUUU